GUCUAUAUAAAAUUAAUAUUUAGUCUAACCUGCCCAGUGAAUAAUUAAACGGCCGCGGUAUACUGACCGUGCAAAGGUAGCAUAAUAAUUAGUUUUUUAAUUGAAAACUUGAAUGAAAGGUUGGACAAAGAAUAAACUGUCUUUAAUUUUUAAAUUUAAUUUUAUUUUUAAGUCAAAAAGCUUAAAUAAAUAAAAAAGACGAUAAGACCCUAUAAAUCUUAAUAGAAUAUAAUUUUAAAAUAAUUAUUUGUUUAUUAAUUCUAAUAUUAUUAAUAUUUAGUUGGGGCAACAAGAGUAUAAUAAAAAAUUAUUCUUAAUUUAAACAAAGAUAUUUGGUUAAUGAUCCUUUAUUGAGGAGUAAAAGUUUAAGUUACUUUAGGGAUAACAGCGUAAUUUUUUUUGAGAGUUCAUAUCGAAAAAAAAGUUUGCGACCUCGAUGUUGAAUUAAAAUUUAUUUUAAGGUGCAGAAGCCUAAAAAUUUAAGUCUGUUCGACUUUUAAAAUUUU
rnacentral:rRNA from 1 species